GACGGAGGAUGCAAGUGUUAUCCGGAAUCACUGGGCGUAAAGCGUCUGUAGGUGGUUUAAUAAGUCAACUGUUAAAUCUUGAGGCUCAACCUCAAAAUCGCAGUCGAAACUAUUAGGCUAGAGUAUAGUAGGGGUAAAGGGAAUUUCCAGUGGAGCGGUGAAAUGCGUAGAGAUUGGAAAGAACACCGAUGGCGAAGGCACUUUACUGGGAUAUUACUAACACUCAGAGACGAAAGCUAGGGUAG
rnacentral:rRNA from 1 species